CCCUUAGAUGUUCUGGGCUGCACGCGUGUUACAAUCGGGAGUACAACAAGAUUGCAAAUCCUAGUGGAUGAGUGGUUCUUCGAAAUUUUCUGAAGACUGGGAUAGUUGAUUGAAAUUAUUCAACUCGAACGAGGAAUUCCUUGUAAUUGUAAUUCAUUAUAUUGUAAUGAAUACGUCCCUGCCCUUUGUACACACCGCCCGUCGCUCCUACCGAUUGAACGAUCCGGUGAAUUAUUUGGAGUGGCUCUGGAAGUUGCAGAACUUCCUAUGUCACGAAAUUUUGUAAACCUUAUCGUUUAGAGGAAGGAAAAGUCGUAACA
rnacentral:rRNA from 1 species